CUAAUACUUUGGGGUAAGGUGAAAUUCCUUUUAACCGGCGGUAAAGCCCGCGAGCAUUUGCAGAACCUGUGAGAUUCAGGUGCCGACUGUAUAGUCAGGACGGAAAAAGAUCUUA
rnacentral:ncRNA from 2 species